GCGGAUAUGGUCAAAGGGUAAAA
rnacentral:tRNA from 1 species